AAGAUACUAGUAAAACGAAUAUUACACUGCUUUGUCAGGGCAGGGUCGCAAGUUAAAUCCUUGCGUAUCUUA
rnacentral:tRNA from 1 species